rnacentral:lncRNA from 1 species
CACACCACGCCCGGAGGAGCCACAGCCGCCGCCGCCUCAGCGAGCCGCCAUGUAGGGGCCCCGGCCCGGCCACCGCGCUCAGGUCACAGGCUCCAGCCGCUGCGCAUUGCCACUCCAGCGACGGUCGCCUGCUCGGCUCCACGCCGCGGCCGCCGCUUCCGGGAGCCGGGAGCCCACGCCCUCAGCGCGGCGGAGGCGGACCCGUGGCCCGCGAGGCGGCCGGCGCCGCCCGGGUCUGUCCCGGCUGCAGGCUGUGGCGGCGGCGGCGGCGGCGACGGCGGCGGCGGGGUCGCCAGCGCCACCUGGAGGGCGGAGGGGCAGAGGGCAGGCGCGCGCCCUCAAAGUCUGCGCGUGCGCGGCGAGCUCGGCGGGCCGACCUGCCAUCUGCGAACCGGCUAGGGCCGGCGCCUGCGUCUAGCCUGUGCCACGGCUGGUACUGUAAUAACGGAAAGCUGAUAGGUUGCUAUAUGUGCAAUGACAAAGGUUGUAGCAGUUGUCCAAGGCACAUACGGUCCUGAGGUCUUGGCUACGUGGAACACUGUCUCUCCACAGAACUGUGACGCUGGUGGCCAAUGUUGACUUCACUAGUGCUCAGAUCAAGGAGGCCUCUCAACAACCUUACAAGGUGGAUACCACUGUUAUCUGUGUUUUACAGAUCAAGAAACCAGGGUCAAAGAGGUUAAGUAACUAGCCUUAGGCAACUAGGAAGGGACACAAUUGAGAUUUGAACCAGGUGCUUACUUAGGCUCUAGAACAAGGCUAAGACUGGGGGCAGGGGAGAUGGGAUACAGUGGAGGUGAAUUAAUGCAAGUGCAUGAUCAGGUCUUGACUUUGUUUAGAAUUUAUAUAUUUUCUUCACCAUAGAUAUUGUGCAGUAAUUUUCAUCUUUUAAAAUAUUGCAUGAAAAUGUUAUUCCGCUUCAGGAUAGGUGUCGUGGCCUAACAAGUUAAGCUGCUUCCUGCAACAUAGGCCUCCUGUUUGAUGCCAGUUUGAAUCCUGGCUGCUCUAUUUCUGAUCCUGCUCCAUGCUAAUGCACUUGGGAAAGAUGGCCCAAGUCCCUGGGUCCCUGCCACCCACGGAAGAGACCCAAAUGAAGCUCCUGGCUCCUGGCUUCAGCCUGACUCAGCCUUGGUUUUUGCAGCCGUUUGGGGGAGGGAACCAGUGGAUGGAAGAUCUCUCUCUCUCCCUCUUUCUAUAACUCUGCCUUUCAAAUAAACAAAAUAAAUCUUUUUUUUAAAAGUUAUUC